GCCUUCAUGGUGUAACGGUAGCACACUCGGCACAUGUUAGAGAAGUCCAGGUUCGAGUCCCAGUGAGGGCA
rnacentral:tRNA from 1 species